AUCCUUUUGUAGUUCAUUAGCAUAAUGAUUGGGUUUUCACACUUAGGUGUGAGAAGUGCCUCUCUCAAACCUUGUUACGAUGAUGGCACAUUACCUAUCUGGCA
rnacentral:snoRNA from 1 species